CGCAGACCCGGCAGGGCGUGCGCCCCCGCCCCGGCCCGGCUGCCCGAGAGCCCGGGCGGCAGCCAGCUCUCUCCUCGUCUCCCUCCUGUCCUUCUCGUUAGGUCCUCUCUUCUCCACUCACUUUCUCCCUCCUCUUCUGCCCUGCUUCCUUUUUAUUUUUCCUGCUUGUUUCUGCAAGUUUGUUUCAGAAGUUCACAGCACGCUCUCUUUCCUUUUAGACCUGGAGACCGUGGUCUCACCCUGACGCGGCCGAUACUUUGGGGGACACACGAGCUUUCUGUGGACAAAAAUCUCGGGAGCGCCUCGAACCUGGCCCAAAGGAGAGGCAGAUGCGUGGGGAGAGCCCAGUGGACUCCCAGGUCUCUCAACCGGGAGAAGCGCCGUGGCGAUGGUUUCUAGCGGAGAUGCCGCAGUUCGACCUAAACUGUGGACUGCAAUGGCGGGAGAAGCAUCUUGCAAAGCUGGAAUCUCCGGGCAGCCGUGCUAAUGAGGAGCCCAGACUGCGGGGUGCGAUUCACCUCGUUUUCUGGUUUAAUCCUCCCCAAAGCUCUAGGGGACGAAAUGCACGGAAUUCAUUGUCCCCUUUUGCCAGCUGGGGAAACUGAGGCUUAAAGAGACCGCGUGUCAUCGGUAAAUAUGAGCAUGCCUGCUGGGCUCUGGGACGCAGGAGGGAGGGGGGCAAGCGACCUCCCUGAGAGACCUCACCUUCCGGUGACAGAGCAAAUAAUGACGUAGCAUGGCUGAGGGUACAGUGUGAUUAUGGGCCGAAAUCGCUGAUGGGAAGGAGAGGGGGUACCGUGUUUCCCCGAAAACAAGACCUACCCUUAAAAUAAGCCCCGGCAGGAUGUCUGAGCAUGUGCGCCAUAGAAGCCCCAC
rnacentral:lncRNA from 1 species